rnacentral:rRNA from 1 species
UACGUAGGUGGCAAGCGUUGUCCGGAAUUACUGGGCGUAAAGCGUGUGUAGGCGGUUUGGUAAGUCGGAUGUGAAAGCCCUGGGCUCAACCCAGGAAGUGCACUCGAAACUGCCAAGCUAGAGUAUCGGAGAGGUUGGUGGAAUUCUCGGUGUAGAGGUGAAAUUCGUAGAUAUCGAGAGGAACACCGGUGGCGAAGGCGGGUCUCUGGGCAUUUCCUGACGCUGAGGCGCGAAAGCGUGGGGAGCGAACGGG